rnacentral:rRNA from 1 species
GACGAACGCUGGCGGCGUGCUUAACACAUGCAAGUCGAACGGAAAGGCCCUGCUUUUGUGGGGUGCUCGAGUGGCGAACGGGUGAGUAACACGUGAGUAACCUGCCCUUGACUUUGGGAUAACUUCAGGAAACUGGGGCUAAUACCGGAUAGGAGCUCCUGCUGCAUGGUGGGGGUUGGAAAGUUUCGGCGGUUGGGGAUGGACUCGCGGCUUAUCAGCUUGUUGGUGGGGUAGUGGCUUACCAAGGCUUUGACGGGUAGCCGGCCUGAGAGGGUGACCGGCCACAUUGGGACUGAGAUACGGCCCAGACGCCUACGGGAGGCAGCAGGGGGGAAUAUUGCACAAUGGGCGGAAGCCUGACGCAGCAACGCCGCGUGCGGGAUGACGGCCUUCGGGUUGUAAACCGCUUUCGCCUGCGACGAAGCGUGAGUGACGGUAAUGGGUAAAGAAGCACCGGCUAACUACGUG